rnacentral:rRNA from 1 species
UACGUAGGGACCGAGCGUUGUCCGGAAUCAUUGGGCGUAAAGAGCGUGUAGGCGGCUUGCUAAGUCUUGCGUGAAAUCUCGGGGCUCAACCCCGAGCGGUCGUGGGAAACUGGCAGGCUAGAGUGCGGGAGAGGAGAAUGGAAUUCCUGGUGUAGCGGUGAAAUGCGUAGAUAUCGGAAGGAACAUCAGUGGCGAAAGCGACUUCCUGGACCAAUACUGACGCUCAUGUGCGAAAGCGUGGGGAGCAAACAGG